rnacentral:sRNA from 1 species
AAAAGAAAGAAAAAAAGAAGAAGAAAAAGA